rnacentral:rRNA from 1 species
AACGAACGCUGGCGGCGCGCCUAAUACAUGCAAGUCGAGCGAGAAGACGUAGCAAUACGUUUGUAAAGCGGCGAACGGGUGAGGAAUACAUGGGUAACCUACCCUCGAGUGGGGAAUAACUAGCCGAAAGGUUAGCUAAUACCGCGUACGCUCCUUGGACUUCGGUUCAGGGAGGAAAGCGAUACCGUGGGUAUCGCGCUCUUGGAUGGGCUCAUGUCCUAUCAGCUUGUUGGUGAGGUAACGGCUCACCAAGGCUUCGACGGGUAGCUGGUCUGAGAGGACAAUCAGCCACACUGGCACUGCGACACGGGCCAGACUCCUACGGGAGGCAGCAGUAAGGAAUAUUGCGCAAUGGGCGAAAGCCUGACGCAGCGACGCCGCGUGGGGGAUGAAGGUCUUCGGAUUGUAAACCCCUUUCGGGAGGGAAGAUGGAACGAGCAAUCGUUCGGACGGUACCUCCAGAAGCAGCCACGGCUAACUUCGUGCC